UACGUAGGGUGCAAGCGUUGUCCGGAAUUAUUGGGCGUAAAGAGCGUGUAGGCGGCCAGGUAGGUCUGCUGUGAAAACUCGAGGCUUAACCUCGAGCUGUCGGCGGAAACCAUCUGGCUAGAGUCCGGAAGAGGAGAAUGGAAUUCCCGGUGUAGCGGUGAAAUGCGCAGAUAUCGGGAAGAACACCCGUGGCGAAGGCGGUUCUCUGGGACGGUACUGACGCUGAGACGCGAAAGCGUGGGAGCGAACAGG
rnacentral:rRNA from 1 species